AUUGAACGCUGGCGGCAUGCCUUACACAUGCAAGUCGAACGGUAACAGGUCUUCGGACUUAGUGGCGGACGGGUGAGUAACACGUGGGAACGUGCCCUUUGGUACGGAAUAACUCAGGGAAACUUGAGCUAAUACCGUAUGUGCCCUUCGGGGGAAAGAUUUAUCGCCAUUGGAGCGGCCCGCGUCUGAUUAGCUAGUUGGUGAGGUAAAGGCUCACCAAGGAGACGAUCAGUAGCUGGUCUGAGAGGAUGAUCAGCCACAUUGGGACUGAGACACGGCCCAAACGCCUACGGGAGGCAGCAGUGGGGAAUCUUGCGCAAUGGGCGAAAGCCUGACGCAGCCAUGCCGCGUGAAUGAUGAAGGUCUUAGGAUUGUAAAAUUCUUUCACCGGGGACGAUAAUGACGGUACCCGGACAAGAAGCCCCGGCUAACUUCGUGCCAGCAGCCGCCGUAACAC
rnacentral:rRNA from 1 species